rnacentral:misc_RNA from 1 species
GAUGAAGAACGUAGCGAAAUGCGAUAAGUAGUGUGAAUUGCAGAAUUCAGUGAAUCAUCGAAUCUUUGAACGCACAUUGCGCCCCUUGGUAUCCCGAGGGGCAUGCCUGUUCGAGCGUCAUUUCACCACUCAAGCCUGGCUUGGUGUUGGGCGACGUCCCCUUUGGGGACGCGCCUCGAAAGGCUCGGCGGCGUGGCACCGGCUUUAAGCGUAGCAGAAUCUUUCGCUUUGGAAGUCGGGGCCCCGUCUGCCGGAAGACCUACUCGCAAGGUUGACCUCGGAUCAGGCAGGGAUACCCGCUGAACUUAAGCAUAUCAAUAAGCGGAGGA